rnacentral:rRNA from 1 species
AUGGGCGCAAGCCUGAUGCAGCGACGCCGCGUGCGGGAUGACGGCCUUCGGGUUGUAAACCGCUUUUGACUGGGAGCAAGCCCUUCGGGGUGAGUGUACCUUUCGAAUAAGCACCGGCUAACUACGUGCCAGCAGCCGCGGUAAUACGUAGGGUGCAAGCGUUAUCCGGAAUUAUUGGGCGUAAAGGGCUCGUAGGCGGUUCGUCGCGUCCGGUGUGAAAGUCCAUCGCUUAACGGUGGAUCCGCGCCGGGUACGGGCGGGCUUGAGUACGGUAGGGGAGACUGGAAUUCCCGGUGUAACGGUGGAAUGUGUAGAUAUCGGGAAGAACACCAAUGGCGAAGGCAGGUCUCUGGGCCGUCACUGACGCUGAGGAGCGAAAGCGUGGGGAGCGAACAGGAUUAGAUACCCUGGUAGUCCACGCCGUAAACGGUGGAUGCUGGAUGUGGGGACCAUUCCACGGUCUCCGUGUCGGAGCCAACGCGUUAAGCAUCCCGCCUGGGGAGUACGGCCGCAAGGCUAAAACUCAAAGAAAUUGACGGGGGCCCGCACAAGCGGCGGAGCAUGCGGAUUAAUUCGAUGCAACGCGAAGAACCUUACCUGGGCUUGACAUGUUCCCGACAGCCGUAGAGAUACGGUCUCCCUUCGGGGCGG